GUGUAAUCGUUAUUUAAUAAAUUUUGAAUUUUUUGUUGGAUGUCUGGUGACCAACAAAAAAUUCAAAAUUCAUUAAAUAACGAUUACAC